rnacentral:lncRNA from 1 species
ACAGAGAGGGGCCCCCAUAGCGCAGUGGCGGGCUGAAGGGCUCCUUGAGCAUGGCCAGAGUGGACGCCAAGGCUGAGGAGGCGCCGAGAGCCAGUGAGGGCUGCUAGCAUGUUGUCACCUCUCAAUACAUAAAACUACUGGAGGGUGGUUCCAAGAUGGCCAAAUAGGAACAGCUCCAGUCUACAGCUCCCAGCAUGAGUGAUGCAGAAGACGAAUGAUUUCUGCAUUUCCAACUCAGUUCACAGAUCUUCAACUCCAGAGAACUGAGUUUAAGGAGCUGUACCUGGGAAAUUGUGCCUGAAGCUGUUCCUGAGGAAUCUGCACCUGGAUCUAAUGUACAUGCUGAGAUCCUGGAUUUGAGCUGAUGCCAUAGUGGGAUGAGACUUUGCCGUCUUGGGUGUGGGAUGAAUAUAUUUUGCACUGGGAAGGAUGUGAAGUAUUGUGGUUAAAAGGUGGACUGUAGUUCAUUGCAUUUUUCAACAAUGGCCACAACAGCAUCUCUUAUCCUAUGUGCUCUUCUUCCAAUGUGACUGUGUCCUCUCUCAUUAAGAUGCGGAGUCUAUUUCUCCACUCUCUCAAAUCUGGUGGACCCUGGGACUUCUACCAACAGAGUACAGUGGAAAUGAUGCUGGGCCACUUCCCGGUUUGGUCUUUAACUAGUCUGGCAGCUUCUCCUUUCUGCUUCUUGGAAGCCAGUAAGAAGUACAACUAUCCUGAGGCUUCUGCUGUGAGAAGCCCAAGCCAUGGGAGAGGCUCUGGAGAAUGAGACUUCACUGGGAGAGUGAAGAGAGGAGCGAAGAGAAAGAGAGAGGCACCAAGGAUCACUGAGUUGCCAGAACAUGAAUGCUAAGGCCAUAUUGGAAAUGGAUUCUCCUGCUUCAGCUGCCCCAGCUGAUGCCACCAGGAUCAGAGAUGAUCUGGCCAGCUGAGCCCUUCCUUAAUUCUAACCCAUAAAAUUGUGUGCGAAACAAAAUGGUUGUUUUCAACCACUAAGUUUUGGGGUAGGUUUUAUGCAGCAGCAGAUAAUGGAAAUACUGCUUGGUUUUGACUUUCAAAAAAAUCCAUUUGUUUUCAGGCUUGUCUGCACUCCUUCUUUAAGAGGUGCUAAGAGACUGGACUUAGUUCUUUGUCCAGAUAAAUGUGUUUUUCCCACUGCUAGCUUAGGUUUUAUUUUUUUCACGUCUGCUAAGUCAGUAGUCCAUUUGCUUUUCAGCUUCCAAAA